GCCUCUUCGGAGGACAUCCACCAUCUGGAAAUUCUACUGAGAAGAUUAGCACUCUCCCUGCGCAAGGCCGAUGUCAAUCUUCGAGAAGACUUGCUUUU
rfam:Strigomonas culicis Cont11744, whole genome shotgun sequence.